rnacentral:rRNA from 1 species
AUUGAACGCUGGCGGCAGGCCUAACACAUGCAAGUCGAGCGGAAACGAUCCUAGCUUGCUAGGAGGCGUCGAGCGGCGGACGGGUGAGUAACGCGUGAGAAUCUACCCAUGAGUGGGGGACAACCCGGGGAAACUCGGGGCUAAUACCGCAUACGCCCUACGGGGUAAAGCAGGGGACCUUCGGGCCUUGCGCUGAUGGAUGAGCUCGCGUCGGAUUAGCUUGUUGGUGAGGUAAUGGCUCACCAAGGCGACGAUCCGUAGCUGGUCUGAGAGGAUGAUCAGCCACACCGGGACUGAGACACGGCCCAGACUCCUACGGGAGGCAGCAGUGGGGAAUCUUGGACAAUGGGGGCAACCCUGAUCCAGCCAUGCCGCGUGUGUGAAGAAGGCCUUCGGGUUGUAAAGCACUUUCAGCAGGGAGGAAGGCUUACCCCUAAUACGGGUGAGUACUUGACGUUACCUGCAGAAGAAGCACCGGCUAAUUUCGUG